GACGAACGCUGGCGGCGUGCCUAAUACAUGCAAGUUGAGCGAUGAAGAUUGGUGCUUGCACCAAUUUGAAGAGCAGCGAACGGGUGAGUAACGCGUGGGGAAUCUGCCUUUGAGCGGGGGACAACAUUUGGAAACGAAUGCUAAUACCGCAUAACAACUUUAAACAUAAGUUUUAAGUUUGAAAGAUGCAAUUGCAUCACUCAAAGAUGAUCCCGCGUUGUAUUAGCUAGUUGGUGAGGUAAAGGCUCACCAAGGCGAUGAUACAUAGCCGACCUGAGAGGGUGAUCGGCCACAUUGGGACUGAGACACGGCCCAAACUCCUACGGGAGGCAGUAGUAGGGAAUCUUCGGCAAUGGACGAAAGUCUGACCGAGCAACGCCGCGUGAGUGAAGAAGGUUUUCGGAUCGUAAAACUCUGUUGGUAGAGAAGAACGUUGGUGAGAGUGGAAAGCUCAUCAAGUGACGGUAACUACCCAGAAAGGGACGGCUAACUACGUG
rnacentral:rRNA from 1 species